rnacentral:tRNA from 1 species
ACAGGAGUGGCUCAGAGGUUAAAGCGUCUGCCUGCAAUGCGGGAGACCUGGGUUCGAUCCCUGUUUCAGGA